rnacentral:rRNA from 1 species
GGCCAGACUCCUACGGGAGGCAGCAGUGGGGAAUAUUACGCAAUGGACGAAAGUCUGACGCAGCGACGCCGCGUGAGGGAUGAAGGUUUUCGGAUCGUAAACCUCUGUCAGGAGGGAAGAAAGCGUAUGGCGCCAAUCAGCCAUGCGUUGACGGUACCUCCAAAGGAAGCGCCGGCUAACUCCGUGCCAGCAGCCGCGGUAAUACGGAGGGCGCGAGCGUUAUCCGGAUUUAUUGGGUUUAAAGGGUGCGUAGGCGGGAUGCCAAGUCAGCGGUAAAAAUGCGGUGCUCAACGCCGGCGAGCCGUUGAAACUGGCGUUCUUGAGUGGGCGAGAAGUAUGCGGAAUGCGUGGUGUAGCGGUGAAAUGCAUAGAUAUCACGCAGAACUCCGAUUGCGAAGGCAGCAUACCGGCGCCCUACUGACGCUGAGGCACGAAAGCGUGGGUAUCGAACAGGAUUAGAUACCCGAGUAA